rnacentral:sRNA from 1 species
CUUGGUCAUUUAGAGGAAGUAAAAGUCGUAACAAGGUCUCCGUUGGUGAACCAGCGGAGGGAUCAUUAAAAGAGCGCCGAAAGGCUGCUUAUAACCAUCGCGAACCUAUCCAUCAGCGUUGCUUCGGCGGGAGCGCUCGCGGGACCGGAUUCUGUCCGGGCCCCGGGCCGUGGACCCACCCCCUCCGGGGUGUGGGGCCGCCCGCCGGAGGUACGAAACUCUGCAUCUUAGUGAUAUCUCUGAGUAAACAAGCAAAUAAGUUAAAACUUUCAACAACGGAUCUCUUGGUUCUGGCAUCGAUGAAGAACGCAGCGAAAUGCGAUAAGUAAUGUGAAUUGCAGAAUUCAGUGAAUCAUCGAAUCUUUGAACGCACAUUGCGCCCGCCAGUACUCUGGCGGGCAUGCCUGUUCGAGCGUCAUUUCAACCCUCAAGCCCUGCUUGGUGUUGGGGUCCUACGGCUGCCGUAGGCCCUGAAAGGAAGUGGCGGGCUCGCUACAACUCCGAGCGUAGUAGAAUCCUAUCUCGCUAGGGAGGUGCGGCGUGCUCCUGCCGUUAAAGACCCCAUCUUUAACCAAGGUUGACCUCGGAUCAGGUAGGAAUACCCGCUGAACUUAAGCAUAUCAAUAAGCGGAGGAAAAGAAACCAACAGGGAUUGCCCUAGUAACGGCGAGUGAAGCGGCAACAGCUCAAAUUUGAAAUCUGGCUUCGGCCCGAGUUGUAAUUUGUAGAGGAUGCUUUUGGCGAGGUGCCUUCUGAGUUCCCUGGAACGGGACGCCAUAGAGGGUGAGAGCCCCGUAUAGUCGGACACCUAGCCUCUGUAAAGCUCCUUCGACGAGUCGAGUUGUUUGGGAAU